rnacentral:rRNA from 1 species
GAUGAACGCUGGCGGCGUGCCUAAUACAUGCAAGUCGAGCGAACAGACGAGGAGCUUGCUCCUCUGACGUUAGCGGCGGACGGGUGAGUAACACGUGGAUAACCUACCUAUAGACUGGGAUAACUUCGGGAAACCGGAGCUAAUACCGGAUAAUAUAUUGAAUCGCAUGGUUCAAUAGUGAAAGACGGUUUUGCUUUCACUUAUAGAUGGAUCCGCGCCGCAUUAGCUAGUUGGUAAGGUAACGGCUUACCAAGGCAACGAUGCGUAGCCGACCUGAGAGGGUGAUCGGCCACACUGGAACUGAGACACGGUCCAGACUCCUACGGGAGGCAGCAGUAGGGAAUCUUCCGCAAUGGGCGAAAGCCUGACGGAGCAACGCCGCGUGAGUGAUGAAGGUCUUCGGAUCGUAAAACUCUGUUAUUAGGGAAGAACAAAUGUGUAAGUAACUAUGCACGUCUUGACGGUACCUAAUCAGAAAGCCACGGCUAUCUACGUG